AAUAAUCCAACGUGGACAGCCCCAAAUCCUUCCAAUCCCUUGUACGCUUCUACUUUUUGGUUCCAUCGAAUCACCUUCUUUGAGUUACCACUAUCCUUUCUAUGCAAUCCAAAAGCCACCAUAUCGUCACAACUUCCCACUCAAAAGUUUCUCUUCAUUUCGCUUCCUCACACAUCUGCAAUGUCUCCACCGUCGCAACACACCCCUAACCCCUUCUUCAUGCACCAAUUGCUUCGUUGCUAUCCCAAUCUAAGAUUUUCCCUUCUAUCGCUACCCCAAUCCUAAUGCCUCACUCCUCAACCACCCUCGCAUAAAUUAGCUUUUUCCAUAUUUUAUUUGCAUGACUUCCCUCUCCGAAGUUUCUUUCGUUUGAAUCUGAAAAUUCUGUUCUAACUAUAUGAGGAAAUUUUCAUUUUUUUGGUACCUAUUCUAUAGGUGAACCAAAUUGGCAGUGUAAUUAAUAGUAUUGAAGCAGUGAAAAUAACUAAGACAAUUGGCUGAGGAAACGUGUUUCAUAUUUUUUAUUGUAGUGGUGAAAUUGAGGAUACCUUCACCGCUUACCUUUUUGUUGGGUUAGCAAUAGUAUGUACCUAGAUGCAUUCUAAUUAUUUCUCAUACUCUCAUGUCAGUUGUUUUUUGUGACUUUUUGGUGUGAUGAAUAUGUUUACUUGUGACUUUUGAAUGCAUCAAAAGCCCUCGUGAUAUUUCCUUUUAAUUUAUAAGCAUCUGGUUUAAUCUUAUUGGAUUGUGUCGAUGAACUUGUAUGAGAAUUGAGAACAAGAAAAUGAUAGGACUAUUUGUGCUGUUUUCUGUGACAUAGGUAUGUAAAGUUCUCAAGGGAUAUUGAUUGGUAUCCCUUUUUUGUACCCAUGAGCUCUCAAGGAUUUGUGUCUCAUUCCUCUUUUCACAAAAACACAUUCGCACACUUCGAGAAAUGAGAAAUUUAUAUUAUUUUUAAACACAAUGAGGGUGGAGAAACAUAUUGAACGAAAGAAUGAGGGAGUCAUGUGUCAUCCAUAAUCAGCAGAGAAGGUCUACUCCUGUAUCAUGAAGUAUCACCCAGGAGCUUGCAAUGGAGUGCUUCAAUGGCUCAGCAUGCAUCCUCAAUCAGGAGGGGUGUCUACAAGAGAGGCUUACUCAUAAAACUUUUUAAGCUAAGGGUGUCAAAAUUGAGGCUUGUAUCAAGAAGAACUAUCUCAGUAAGUUUAGGGGUGAAUUCUCUGAGGGUGGUGUGUACAAGAUAAAUUUUUUCGGUGUUUCUGAAAACUCGGGCGCAUUUCGUGCAUCUGAUCAU